rnacentral:rRNA from 1 species
AUUGAACGCUGGCGGCAUGCCUUACACAUGCAAGUCGAACGGUAACAGGUUAAGCUGACGAGUGGCGAACGGGUGAGUAAUGUAUCGGAACGUGCCCAGUCGUGGGGGAUAACUACUCGAAAGAGUGGCUAAUACCGCAUACGACCUGAGGGUGAAAGCGGGGGACCGUAAGGCCUCGCGCGAUUGGAGCGGCCGAUAUCAGAUUAGCUAGUUGGUGGGGUAAAAGCCCACCAAAGCGACGAUCUGUAGCUGGUCUGAGAGGAAGACCAGCCACACUGGGACUGAGACACGGCCCAGACUCCUACGGGAGGCAGCAGUGGGGAAUUUUGGACAAUGGACGCAAGUCUGAUCCAGCCAUGCCGCGUGCGGGAAGAAGGCCUUCGGGUUGUAAACCGCUUUUGUCAGGGAAGAAACGAGUUUCUCUAAUACAGAGACUUAAUGACGGUACCUGAAGAAUAAGCACCGGCUAACUACGUGCCAGCAGCCGCCGUAAGAC